rnacentral:misc_RNA from 1 species
GGUUCUUAGAUAUGCACAAGAUAUUGAAGACAAAUCCUCCAUACAGGAAAUCAGAAGAUCUUCUAAAUCUAGAAAUUGAAGUAAAUGUUUCCCUAACAACAGAAACCCUGCUCUAACUUGACAAAUUAAGGUGACCUUAAGCUCAACUACAUCAGAUUGUUCAGGAGGAAAUCAACAUCAGGAGUGACAACAGCCCGUUUUCCGAGUUCUCCCAGCUGACAACACUGCUUCUCAGCAGUGUUGAUUGCAACAACAUCUUGAGAAAAAGAGCAUUCUACACCAGGAGAAACAUCGUAUAGAAUGUCUCCAAGCUUCAAUUUAAUUGCUCCACUCUUGUAAACCAGCAUUUUCCCCAUGCUUCCCGCGGGCAACUCUUGCAAACUGCACACUUUGUUUGUAGUAUUAUUAUGUCGUCUGGAGAUUGUAGAGCUGUCAGAUAUCUCUUUCCCUUUUGCACUGGCAAGAAAUCUGGGAGCACUGCCAGCAACUUCUUUUCCCUUAAGCAUAGGUGAUGACAAUGUUGCAGCUUUGUCACUUUUGUCCCCUGGCAAUGUCAAGCUGACAGCAGUAUCUCUACCUCCUGUGCUAGCUUGCAACUUGCUUAGCGGUAAAUUAGCAGGAAGCUGAAGAAAAAGAAGCUGCACAUCAUCCUUCUUUUCCAGUAAGCCAAGCUCUGAAGCAGGAUUUAUAUUAUUUUCAUCAUACUCAGCAUUUUUUGCAGCCUCUCCAAAUUCAGCUUCAUUUAAAAUUUCUGGAUCUCCAGCAUAUGGUCUUCUCAGAGGAAGGGUUACAGGAUAGUUGCUAUGAUGGUAAUCCCAAGGUUCUUUAUACUCUUUCUUCCUUUUAAGUAAAGAAUCUGAAUUAUUGACUGACAUUUCAGCAAGAUCUGGUCCAGUACUUGAAGGUAAAGUAGGUAAAGAAUCAAUGUCCAUGUUAUCACAAGAUUCAUUGUCUUUCAGAGUACUAUCCUGAUUGACAGUGAGUUCCCUAGACUUCCCAGAAGUCUUUGUGGAAGUUGGUGAUGCUACUCCAUGAGCAAAUGCAACCUCA